UGGGGAAUAUUGCACAAUGGGCGCAAGCCUGAUGCAGCCAUGCCGCGUGUAUGAAGAAGGCCUUCGGGUUGUAAAGUACUUUCAGUCGGGAGGAAGGUGGUAAGGUUAAUAACCUUGGCAAUUGACGUUACCGACAGAAGAAGCACCGGCUAACUCCGUGCCAGCAGCCGCGGUAAUACGGAGGGUGCAAGCGUUAAUCGGAAUUACUUGGCGUAAAGCGCACGCAGGCGGUUGAUUGAGUCAGAUGUGAAAUCCCCGGGCUUAACCCGGGAAUUGCAUCUUCUACUGGUCAGCUAGAGUCUUGUAGAGGGGGGUAGAAUUCCAUGUGUAGCGGUGAAAUGCGUAGAGAUGUGGAGGAAUACCGGUGGCGAAGGCGUCCCCCUGGACAAAGACUGACGCUCAGGUGCGAAAGCGUGGGGAGCAAACAGG
rnacentral:rRNA from 1 species